CGGAAACCAACUAGUGCAGCGAUAAUGAUACCACAUUGGUCACAUGACAAAUGGAGCCAUAAGAAGGCCGCUCUACGGUCGCUAGUACGCAGGGCGAUUACCCAUUGUACUAAAGAGGACAGCUUCAACGCAGAAAUAUCACGGAUAAACCAGGCAGCAACCAAACAUGGUUAUAAGAGGACCUUGGUAUACAAGCUCCUUGAUGAAGAAAAGCGUAAGAUCAACACCUCGACAGCCGCAGUUAACAGACAAAAUGAUACGACGUGAUCGUAACACGCAGACUGAUCGCAAAGAUUACACGGUGAUACCAGCGAUACUAAGGAAUUAUGCCAC
rnacentral:lncRNA from 1 species